CGGCAUGCGCUUGGACUCGAAGAUGCUUUGGGCCAUGCCGAGUAAAACCCGCCCACAAGGGGAUCUGUCCAGGGCGGGAGGGCAACCCCAGCAGCUCCAGUUUGACCGCGUCCAGGACACUGCCGAAUCCCUGGAAGGAGCGCCCCGAAAGUGCUGCUGGUGGCCGACCCUGACAGGGCCGAGGGAGCGUCAACUCAUAACCUCGAAGACGGCCAGCGCAA
ncrna:unclassified sequences PAGEV RNA